rnacentral:lncRNA from 1 species
CAGAGAUCAAGAUGGGGAUAUUAUGGGAUGCAAAACCUAUUACUAUAGUUGGCUUCGUAGUUGCUAUUGUUUCGUUUGUGUUGCAAUUAAUUGGUUUUGCGACCUCUUAUUGGAUUUACCGUAAAAUGGGAGAUGCAGAGUAUCAUGUUGGUUUAUGGCAAAUGUGUCUUCCAACAAGAUCUGGAACAACGGAAUGUGAACAAAUUGAAUGUGGUAUGUAAGUUGAUGUUGUUUAAAAAAAAAAAACAGUUUUCAAAGACUGACAUGUUUUAAUUUUUUUUUAAACUUUUUACAAUAUCUGUGCAUCAUUAUACUACAAAGAGAAUAUUAUGAUGUAACAGAUGAGUUAUUUGUGACCAAAAUCAAAAACUUGCAUUCUACAUGUCUUCUGUUAUAUUUGUUCAUUGAUUUUUUACUCACCGAGUUUUGCACCUUGUUUAGACACCUGUCAAAUGUUGAAGACCUUAUGUGUCUUUUGCUUUGAGAUCUUGGUUUUGUUUUGUAGGGCUAUUUCCUUCUUUACAAUUACUGUAAAUCUCCUUUAAAUCAAUAUGAUAUGCUGUGGUACAAUAAAUUUAUUAAGUCGUAUUUUAUAAAAUAAUUUGAAUUCAAGCACAUAAGUUAAAGUAAAAUUUUAACUUACAAUUUAAGUUACAAGCACUACCACAAUAUGAAUUUGUCAUAUUUGUAGUCAUGCGAGAAUUUCUCUUUGAAUACCAGUAAAUUAAGAUUUUAAAUUAAUAACACCAAUUUAUUUUCAUUAUCGUAGGAAAAUUUAGUUGUAUCAGUUUGAAAGGAACACAAGCGUUAGAAACAUUGGCGUUCAUCAUCUUGUUGGCUGCUGUUGUCCUUGUAGCAGUUCAGUUAUUGGUGAUGAAAGAUAAAGAUAUCCUGAAGAAGGCAGGAGCAGUAUGUUGUAUUGUAGCAGGUAUUUAAAAAAAAAAGCAUAAUUGAUAGAAAUGAAUUUAAUUAUCAAAGCUAUUGAGUGAUGUGUUUAUGGCGAACAACUUCAAGUUAUUAUCAUAUUUUUUAUUAAACGCAAAGUCGGUUCAAUUAUACAGCAAACAAGUAACAACAUUUAUCUCACUGUCCAAUAUUUUUUGGGGAUUUGUAUUCUAAAUAAGAGUUAACCUGUAUCUUUUGACUAACUGGUGUUUACCCAUCAGUUAUUUUUUGGUCACUGACAUCGUCACUAGGAACAAAUAAUAUAAGUGAAGGUUAGAAAGAACUGCUUUAAAUACCAAAAACAAACCUUAAAUUGAUAAAAAAAAAUCUUUCUGAUUGUCCCUUUUUGCAGGGAGCAAGGGUUUGGAACAAAAAAAAACGCUAUGCACGAUGAAACGGACCAUAACAACACUAGCACAACAAAUAUAUGAUUUGAAACGAAAAGCAUAAAAAAUAGGUCAAAAAUAAUGAUCGUAAUGACAUAUGGUAUAUUUGAUUAAGAGAGAUUCCUGCCUUUCAAACAAUUUCCUAUCUCAAAAUAUAUGUGAAAUUAAAAUGUUUAAAUAUUUUGUGCCUUUUUUUACAUUGAAUCAAGGUUUGUUUUAUUUUUGUAGGUGCUUUCGCCCUUAUUGGGGUUAUAGUAUUUGCUACUGAGAGUAGUAUACAGACAAGUGAUCUUCAUUUUUCGUUUGCGUUCUGUAUUAUUUCUUCGGUUUGUGGCAUUGUUGCCGGUGUUUUAUUAGUAAUUAAAUAAUGAUAAAAUAUUACAUUGA